AAAAGGCCACGGUCAUUUCCUUUUGCCUGAAACUGCUGGGAAGUCCAAGAUUCUGCCAUCUUUCCUCUUCCCAUCCACCAAGUUCUUAUUAGCAUUUGCCUUACUCAAAAAAUCUAUAGUAAAGUGUGAGUGGAUAGACAUCGCCCUUCAUAACUGAGCAAGAGUCUGGGCAACACAUCUGCAGUUAUCCUGGAACAGCAGUUUCAGAUACAAGGCCCCUUAGGCAUUUUGCACCUUUAUGCCAAGAAAUUGCCGCAAUGCCCCCAUUUGUGCCUCCAAUAUGCCAGGAGGCAGAUUGGCACAGAUGCA
rnacentral:lncRNA from 11 species